rnacentral:misc_RNA from 1 species
AACUUUCAGCAACGGAUCUCUUGGCUCUCGCAUCGAUGAAGAACGCAGCGAAAUGCGAUGCGUAAUGUGAAUUGCAGAAUUCAGUGAAUCAUCGAAUCUUUGAACGCACCUUGCGCCCCUUGGAAUUCCGAGGGGCACACCCGUUUGAGUGUCCUGAACAUCCUUCAACCUUUCUUGGUUUCUUGACCGGGGAAGGCUUGGCCUUUGGGGGUCUUUCAUUGCUGGCCUCUUUGAAGCCAGCUCCUCCUAAAUGGAUUAGUGUGGUCUGCUUUGCCGAUCCUUGACGUGAUAAGAUGUUUCUACGUCUUGGGUUUCGCACUGUCGCUUUAGACCCCGCUUCUAACCGUCUUGCAUUCAAGACAGAGUUUUAAACCUUGACCUCAAAUCGGGUGAGACUACCCGCUGAACUUAAGCAUAUCAAUAAGCGGAGGCU